ensembl:lncRNA
UCACACAGCACAGGAGGAGCACCAAAGCACCUACUCUUCAGUGGGGAAAAGAGCUGGCUAAAAGAUGAACCACUGCAAUGCCUUCUUCCAAGAGAGGUUGCUGCCAUAGCUUUCAGCAGAGGUUUGGCCACACCCCAACGCAAUGAGCUCUCUGUCACUGUGCUGCUAACUUACAACCUCUAGAAAACUCGGACUGACCAUUAUGGAAUUUAACUUCAGCAGAAGUUGUAAAACCCUUCACAAGAAAAGCUUGAACUGUACAUGAAAGAGACGUCUUUGUUUCAAAAACAUACCUAACCUGGGGAUAGCACGAUAUACUUUGGGUGUGUUUCAGAUGACUACCAUCCAAGGAGAGGGCUGAGCUAAGCUGAAACAGAAGUCCUCCAUGACCAAGCUCCUGAAGCUCGCUCAAGACCCCCACACUUUUUCCACUGCUCGUAAUCCCCACUGAACACUGGUUUCAACCAAAGUGACUCACAAGAAGAAAAAUACGCAUAAUACACAUUCUAAAUAUUUAGCUGCUCCAAAAAUACAUGGAAUGGUAGUACUCUGGCUGUUAAAUGCGAUACAACCCACACAUUAUUCUCCACUCACCCCCUCAAUGAUCUUUCAGAAAUGGGGUUGGUCCCAAGCAACCUGGAGCUGCUGAGUGGCAGAGCCUAUGCUUCUGGAGCUAUUGCAUAGCAAAUAUUUUACAGUGAAGCAGAACAGUAACCCACAUCACAAGUGCACAUCACAGACCAUACCUGUGCCAUCACUUCGCCCUCCAUUUGAUGCUCAGAAGAUGUGUGGCCCAACUGAAGACUCCAUCCGGCCGCCUUAAACACGGGGAGAGCCCGGAGUGGUCAGCUGCAAUGUUCUUUGCUCUGAAUGCUGCAACAGCUGUGAUAGAAACUGUAUGAGGUGAGAAAGUCCACUGAGUUCCCUGUGUCUGAAACUCAGCGUCAGUCCGCUUCCUCCUCUAUGCGCAGUUAUAACCGUAAGAGGCUGUAAGAGGGCAAAAUCCCAAGCAGUGGGAUUUCUAUGCCUUCCUUCCAAAGACCAUUCUGUACCUCACUUCCUUCUCUCUUAAUUCCAUUAUUCCAUGCUAUAUUUUCUAGGACUAUUAAAACCAACUUCCUCCCAGGUCCACAUCUGCCAUCAGACAGAGUAUUUCUGCCUCCCAAAUCUGCCCCGGGUAAAACUGUUACUCAGCCCUCAAACCCACUAGCUAGUAACAAUUGCACGAGAGCUGUACGCGAAGGUGUUGGUUCUCCAGACAAACAUCCAUUAGCUUCAGCUCCACUGAACACGGAGAGGACGGGCAUGCAUCUCUGAUGGGAUACAGCAGUUGGCUGGUGGCUGUACCAGGAUCACUGAUGUCACUCAGCAGGAGAUGUGGUGCAGGGCCACCUGCGCUACACGCAGCAGUGCUGAAGGCUGUUAAUUCAGACACUGCACAUAGCAGGGGGGUUGGAAUUCGAUGAUCAUUGUGGUCCUUUUCAACCCAGUCUAUGAUUCUAUAAUCAACCUUCUGAAGAAAAUCAAAGCAGGAACAGUCCCUGCACUUGGUGUCUAAGCUGCUUUUCACCCCAGUGGAAGCAGUCUUCUUGAACCAACAUGCUUUACUAAACUGCAAGCUUUCUGCAGCAAACUGUUCAAGCCUGGGCUAUCAAUACAUAUGAGUAGACCCUUGAGAGCCACCACAUGUUAAGUGCUGCUUCCUGUGAAGCUGACGGGCAGACUCCUCCACACCCUUCCACUGCUGGCACCAUCAAGAUUCUUACAGAGGAGUUUAAUAAGUGGAAAAUAAAAACACCUCUAAGUU